GUAGGGUGCGAGCGUUAAUCGGAAUUACUGGGCGUAAAGGGUGCGCAGGCGGUUCUGCAAGUCAGGCGUGAAAGCCCCGGGCUUAACCUGGGAAUGGCGCUUGAAACUACAGGACUGGAGUAUGGCAGAGGGAGGUGGAAUUCCACGUGUAGCGGUGAAAUGCGUAGAGAUGUGGAGGAACACCGAUGGCGAAGGCAGCCUCCUGGGCCAAUACUGACGCUCAUGCACGAAAGCGUGGGGAGCAAACAGGAUUAGAUACCCUGGUAGUCCACGCCCUAAACGAUGAUGACUAGUUGUUGGAGGAGUUAAAUCCUUUAGUAACGCAGCUAACGCGCGAAGUCAUCCGCCUGGGGAGUACGGUCGCAAGAUUA
rnacentral:rRNA from 1 species